AGAUUAUAUCACAGAAAUGUUAUUCACUAUGUGUAUUGCAGAAGAAAACUGAUUGAGAACUAUUGCUGUAUAUAUUUAGGAUUUAUUCAAUAUGGGGCCAAUGUAUGUGAAUAAACCAGUGAAAAGAGAGGCCUUAAUUGAAAUUGCAAGGUCCUAGAAGGAAGCUAAGAAUACCUGAGCUUGGGAAAAAAGGAGGAGGAACAGGAAGAGAACAAGUUGUAGGAAAAUCUCUCCUUUUGGUUUUAGGAAUGAUUUAAAGGAUCAGCAUUUCAGCUUGUAGAAGACAGGAGAGCUAUCCUUAAGUCUGUAGAGUUAUCAUGUAGGAAGAGUCCACUUGUUUCUUGGCUUCCAUGUUGCUGAACUAGGUCCCAGGGUUGGAAGUUUCUGAAAGAUUUAUUUUUAGCUCAGUGUAACAAAGAGCUUCCAAACUACCAAAGAAAUUGAUCAUUUCCACCAAUUAAAGCAGCUUAAAAAGAAUGCAUUCUGUUCAAAAGAACUUUCCUCCUACUCUAGGCAGACAGGCAUCACAGGUUACAGUGGCCAUGGGUGGGGCGAGUGGUUCUACCAGUAACUCACAAGUUGCUUUACAACCCCAUGACCAUAGGAGUCCUGUCCCCGGACUGUUCCAUUUCAAAUACCUUAUUAUGAAAAAGUUUAAGCAUACAUUCAAUACAUAGUAGAUCUCCAUGCACCCAUCACCCAACGUCAACAGUUACCAACUCAAUUCUCGUUUCAGCUCCCCGCCCCCAACACAUGCUCUAUUUAUUUUGAGGAAACUCUGGCACGGUAUACUUCUAGCUGUAAAUAUUUCAGUAUAUAGUAAUAUCCUCAAAAGAUAAGGACUCUUGGCCAUAUAUAUUGAACCAUCCUUUACUGAGGUGUAACUUACACACCCCUGGCCGUAGUCUUGAUAGGUAAGACAAAUCCCUCCGUUUCUUGCCAUGUUUUUCUUCUACCACCUUAGUCCGACCACCAUGAUCUCUCUCCUGGACCACUUUCACGUGACCUCCUCUUGUCCACCCGGCAGCCAGACCAUCUUUCUGAAACAUCAAGCAGACUGUGUCAUUCUUCUACUCCCUGUGGUGGCCAUCCCGCUGCCUAGAAUAAGAUAAGAGCUUCCCACUGUGGCCUCUCAGACCUGCCCGGGGCCCGCCUCCACCCACUCUCCUCCUGGCCCAAUAAGUUCCACCCGCGUAGGUGUAGUUUAACAUCUCCCAGUCAUUUCUGUUUCACACCAAGCCGUCUGCGUUAGAACUUCUGCCCUUGCUCUUCUUCCCGACUAGAAUGAUUUUCCAGAAAUUUUCUCAUGAACGGCUUCCUGCCUUUCAGAUCUCAGUUCCUUAAUCAUGUCUUCAGAGAGACCUCUGACCACCUGAUCUGAACAGUCUUCCCUCUUGUUCUCUGUCCUAUCGCCCCGUUUCAGUCUCCAUAGCACACGGUUCUCUAGAAGCAGUCUGUCUCUGCACGUGUCCACCCUCUUACUGGCUGCUCCUCUGCACAGAAUACAAGCCACGCGAGAAGGGGGUUGCAUGCCUGUCUUGUUUAAUACCAGGGAGAAAGGUGUUAGGGCAGCUUGACUGUGAUCUGUUUCCCUCUAGUUACUGGGAACACACAGGGGCCACUCGGGAGAGAGAAGGCUGGACUGUCUCUGUCACCAAGGCAAUACCCCAUCUCCUGGUACGUAGACUCAUGGUAUUUGCUGGGAAGAGAGUCUUGAUCUAUGUGAUGCUUUUAGCAGGAUGUCUCUGGGUUAGGAUUGCGUGUGGUAAGUAAAUCUGUGAUCUGUGGAUCUGUGAGCCAUGGCUCCCCCAGAAACGUCUACAAGCUGCACAAGUACCUGAGGUAUGACGUGGAGAUAUUCCAUAGCCUGAAGGUUCCCCGCUGUGUGAACUGACCCUGUGCUUGGCCCAGAGGCCUGGGAGGAGAGGAGGCUCUGAACUUGAGUCUGCUUUUUCAUGCCUCCUGAUGGCUUCAUCCUUGAAAUUGCCAGUGAAACCUGAUCCAGGGUAAGAGCUCUGAUUCGUGAGUCCAGUUUGAGUAUCUGAUCAAUUUGUUGGCCCCACUGUCUGAUGCCCAGAGCCUACAGCACUGCUUGGCUCGAAGAGCAAAAUAAAUCCUUGCCUGUGAAUGGGCGCGAUCCAGUAUCUUGGGGACGGUCGACUGGAAUUAAAAGAGCCAUCUUUUUUGUAGCAGUUUUCUUCACUUUUAAGCAAUCCAUGUUACUUGUUUUAUUAGUUCCAUACUUUAUUUGGGAUACUCAGAUAUAAAGAAAUAUAUCCAGAUUAAUAGUGACAGUGGCUAGAAUCAAGGUUCAUAAAAAUAACUGACGUACUUUGGAAAAUGCUCCCUUGCAAGCGUGUGAUGACUCUGUGUGGGUGUCACAGUGACCACGUGGGACUGAUGAGGACUACGUAGGGCCUGGCUGUGCUGGCGUCCCACGGAACACACGGUAGGCGCGGCCCUGCUGUAAGGCGUAUCACUGCAUUUUAAAGCUUCUCCACGAGGGAAUCUUGAAAGAAAAAGUCCUCAAGUUAGAAGCACAGAAGCUUUCGCUCUCAUUUGAGCUAUCAGCACAGAACUUCAUUUUUGCUCUUUUGAGUCUGUUUUUGUUACUGGCACAGAAGGAUACUUUAAUAUUUUCCAGAGAUGAAGACUUGCAGGCACACUGGCAGCUUCUGAGUUUGCUUCUGUAAAGUGAUCCCUCAGUCUUGUGUGUGGUUGUUGGUCCUGAUUCCUUUAGAUGGAAGUAUUUGGGAAAGGUAUUGGGUUAAAUGGAGACACAAAUCUGAAAUAAUGUUGCUAUUUUCUGCUGGAAGCAACUAUUCCAACGUGGAUGUAUUGGGCAUGAAAACUAAACGGUAAUUGUUUUUAUUUAUCAUUAACAAUUCAUACAAAUCUAUAUGGAAAACUGCAUUCUCUGAACUUCAUCUUUGGCCUCCUUCAUUGCCCUUUCCUAACUUGCCAAGUUUUGUAUUAUCCUGACUUCAAAAAAGAUGGAAAUUUCCCAAGUAUGGGUGGUCUUGUUUCAGGCAGAUAGCACAUUGUAAAAUUAUUACACCACGUUUUAACCAGAGCACAGUUGUUUUAAGCUAUAUUAAGUACAUGUGGGUAACAGCUAGUAAGUUUCACUUCCAAGGAUAAGGUGAACUACUGGAAAAUAUCUUAUUGCUUUUAAAUUUUGCCUUUGCUUUCCAUGAUUUAUGUCAUAUUAUAAAAGAAAGAAAGAAAAAAGAACUUCUGAUGGAUGAGUCUGUUUUUCCCCCUGUUGCUGAAUUUAAGAAUUUGAAGUAGUUCAUGGUCUCCUUUAUAAAUAUAAAUAGUUCAUGAGGUCUCCUUUCAUGCCUUUUAAUUGUCAAACCCAAGAAAAUCUAAUAAUAGAUCUUUGAGCUUUAAAGAAAAUUAUGGAAAGGGAAUAUGGGCACUAAGUAGUGCUACCUUAUGCUUGGCAUGCCGGGAGACCUAUGCUCAGACUUUGGUUCUGAACAGAGUUUAUUUGCUGCUCCUCAAGUUCUCUAUGAUUGAUGGCAAUGUAUUAGUUCACAAUCCUGCCAGGUAUGGGAAUUACAUUUAUAGCCUCAAGAAAAUAAGUGACUUAUUGAAAAUUAUGGAGCUAGUUCAUAGCAGAGCACGUGUUAUAAGAGGUCUCCAGAAUCCUAGGUGGGUGUUUUCCCACUAUACUGUGGUAGCCUUUCAGUACAAUUUAGAAUUUUACUUGUGAAUGGUUAGCUAUCUUAAUUUUUAGAUAAGUCAUCUUAUAAAAUUAUACUUUAAAUGGUUCACAGAAUUAAAAAGAUAUUCAUAGGUAUCUUUUACAUUAAAAUAUUCUUAUAGAUGAGUAGAAAAUACAAAUGAUUUCAAGUUUUACCUGGAUGAGAAAUUUGUAUAUCCAGACAUUAGAGUAUAUGAAGUUACCAAGGAGGGAAUUUAAGAUAAGAGCUAACGGUGACCAAGAAAAAAGAAAGAAGACUCAAAUUACUGAAAUCAGAAAUGGAAGUGGAGACAUCACUGACUAUCUUACAAAUGAGCUACUGUAUGACAGUAAUGUAUGUAGCUUGGGUGAAACGGAAACAGUCCUAGAAAGAUACAAAUUAGUGAAAUUGACUCAAGAAUAAAUAGAAAAUUCUAGUAGAUUUCUAACAAGAGACUAAAUUGUAAUAAUAAUUUUAAAACUUCCCACAAAGAAAAUCCAGGACAAGAUGGCUUCACUGGUAACUCCUACCAAACAAGAAGAAUUAAUACCACUUCUUCACAAAAUCUUCCAAGAAAUUAGAGGGAACACAUCACAACUCCUUCAGUGAGUUUCCUGAAGAUUUUUGCUGAAGGAUGUCUUGCGAUCAUAAUAAGAACCACAAGGGCCGGUGCAACCACAACAUUGAUUAUUGAUAGGCUGAGAUCAACACAAUAAAUUGGUGUCGUGAUUGCACUUGGAAUUAACCAAGGGUGAUGCUCUUUACCUGCAACUUGCUUAACAACCAUCUGACUCAGGACACCAUUGGAAACAUUAUUUAAUUCCCAAGACUUUGACUGGAAGGUAUUAUUUGAGAAUGUGCAUAGACUCAGAUAUGACCAGACAGUUUGGAAAACCAACCUAUAGCCUGCUUACAGGGUUCCUGGCGGCCUUAUCAGGUGAGUAAAGGAGGUCACUUCCUGGCAGGUGCAGGAACCUCAGGAUAUCUUGGGGACCUUGAGAAGAGAGGAAUUAACUCACACCUAUAGGUGCUGCAGGCAAAGCCUAUCGGCAAGGCCUCGGCUCGGCUUCCUAGCCCCCGGAGGCUUUUAAAAGCUCAAUCUGAGAUUCUUUAUGAAAAGUUCCUGCAAAGCAGACUUAAAAAGAGCCAAUAUGGUCAGUUGGAAUUCUUGCUGCACUUAUGUAAAUAAUCAGGCCAGUUUAUUGAAACUAGACUUAAUUUGUAAAUAAAUUAGUCUUAUAUGUUGUCUUUGAUAGCAAGGGGAUGACUGUAGACAGAAAACAAUGUUUCAGUAGAAACUAUAAUAUACAGCUGGGGAUAUUAGACUCUAGUUCUGUUAAUUGUGUUUGAGGUUUUGUUUCUGACCUGUAAAGCAGACCAGAUCCUAAAUUCUCCCUGUUUCCUCUAACCUCAGGCCUCAGCUCUCCAAACUAAUGUUUCCAGUUUUUCUCCCACCCUCUGACUUGGAAUCAUUGAGAACUAAAACCGCCUUUUUCCUGAAGCCAUGCAAGCUAAAGUUGGACAAUUUGAUAUAAGCUUAGAGAAAUCACAGCAGUUCACGUUGCCACAGCAGCUUCAUGCUUGUUGCUGUGUGGUCACUCAGAAAGACCACCAGAGACAUUCAAGCUGCAAGUAGGGAAAAGAUGUCAGGUUGCCACUGCCUGCCCUCACUCCAUCUGGAGAUGCUUCGAACCCCACAUCUAGAAACCUUACCUGGCUGCUUUCAGAACUCAGAAACUGGGAUUAUAGUCUGCUCCAAUCACUAACCAUUGGUUUUCCUUUGUUUCCAUAGAAACACCUUUUAUUAAAAACCUGAUGCAAGUAUGUGCGCCAUGUAGGCCUAACUUGGGGAACCCACCUGCAUCGCCACUUCCUGAAAUGAGACACAGCCUCUACUUGAACUGACCUACUCUCUGGACUAAGAGAGGGUUCAAUGAGAUAAAGACAACCCAGCAACUCGGGACAGGUUCAAACCUUCUUACACCAGGUGGCCAAGACAAUAAAGUAGUUCACAAUGGCACCCAAAUCUUUGACCAGGUUCCUCGGGCCCCCAAGGUCACUGACUUAGUUUUAUUGCAGGACACUUCAAAUUUGGGACCGUGGAUACAGACUAGAUUUCAGACUGCUGUCUGUGUAUUUAUUAUAGGAUUUGGGACUAGAAUCCUAUUUAGAUAUGUGCUUUCUGAGUUACAAUGCACCCUACCCCUGACUUAGCACAUCAGCUACGGAGGCAGUUACAUUCUCACCACCCUCACCUUUGACUCUGAUGGCUUGGCAUCACAGGCUGGGUGGUAGGGUGAGCCCUAACAGGUGGGGUUUUUCCUUUUUGUAACGCAAAUGCAUAACUUAAGCUUUGAUUGCCCAGGCCCCCACUUCAGAUAGGGCAUCAGCUUCAAGGAAGGCUACCUGGGAAAAGCACAUUGCUAUUAGCCACGCCAGAUACAGAGCCAGGCCACCUUCCCCACUGAGGUGGCUUUGUUUGGAAGAUCUUAUUUAAUUGCAGUGACUGACCAUUGGGGCACUUGUUUUAUUUUCUCUUUCUGCACUUUAAAUUCCUGCUUUCAUGUUUUAAAUUCACCAGUAAAGAGUGAGCCUAGGAAAACCCCAGGCCCCCACGCCAAGCCCCAGUAAAAGUAGGACCCCAGGCCUGUGCUCACAGUAUCCUUCUCUCCCUCCCUCCCUCCCUCCCUCCCUCCCUCUCUCUCUCCACCUCUCUGUCUCUCUAUCCCCCUGACCUCGCAGUGUGGCACCAGGUGUGCUGUGUAAUUUCCAGGUCCUGUAAGUAAUAAACCUUUAGUUUUUCAAGUUUCCCAAUAGUUAGUGCUGAGGGGUGUCUUGCCAUCAUAAUGAGAACCACAAGGGCCGGUUCAGCCACAGUGUUGGUUAUUGACAGGCUGGGGCCAGCACACAACAGCUCUUAAGAUUCCUUUUUGGUAUUUGAAUGAUCAAAUGACUAAUGUUAUGUGGCAUAUGUCAUGGGUUUGCACAACGUUUGGCACAAACAAGAAUGUGAUUGUGGCCACCCAAGCCUCGCUGCAGAGGGGUGGUCUAGACAAAUUCUGGAAUAAACAGUUUCUGCUCUUUUUGACAUUCUGUUUAAGGGCAUUCUUUUCAGAUGUGGGAGUGCAUUCUGUUUCGUUAGCAGAACUGACUCUGUAUUUCAGACUUUGGGAGGAAGGUGCCUGGGUGUUUUCAUAGUAAAGGUUACUAUUAUUAGUUUUGCAAAUGGUUGACUGAUAAACAGAGAAAAGGAUGAAAUUUGUGGGAUAUGCUAACACCUACAGAUGCAUCCGUCUGGAAGGAAGGGUUGAAGUGGGGUGCGGACAACUCAACAUUUGAAAAGAUAGCUUUUUCACACGUCUAGCAGGAAUCUUCGUGCUGACACUAUUAGACUGAACCAUAUUAAGUUACCAAUAUUUGAGUGUCUUUACCCUACAAAAUGGCAGCUCCAUACGGCUCAACCAAAUAUGUUUUUCAAAAGAGGGAGCAGUAAUAUACAGAUCCAGACCCAUAUACCAAGCCUGCCUUUCUGCCACCCUUUCUUUCCUCUCUGACUUCUUUCUUUCCACUUUCUGAUAAAAACUUUAUUUAGUGCCAGCUUUGUUUCAGGCUUUAAUUUUAGGAAUAAUUUAUUUGAUUGGUUUCUUCUGUAUGUUCCCAACUUAACUUUAAUUUUACUUCUAUUGACAACUUCAUGGUACUCUGACACACUGCCGGCACAAGAGCUGGCUCAUGAAGGUACAGGGUAUCGGGAGAGCCAAUGAAGAUUCUGGUUUUGGUCUGGGACACGUCUCCAGUGAUGGCGCUCCUGCUUUGCCAUUUAGGUUUUGAGUCACUUGCGGUGUGAGACCUCAAGUUACGAAAGUAUGUAUGUCACAUUUACUGACCACACUCCGUUCAAUCUGCCCUUUCCUCUGCAGUCCUUUAUUUGAGUUUUUCAACAGAGGACUAAAAAAAAUGAAUGGAAGCAAUUUAAUUCCUAUGUUUCCCUGGCAAAGAUAAGAACAUAAAGAUUCCAGGAGAAGAACUGAAUGGUAACAAAGCUAAUAUCAAUAUUGAAGAGAAAUGUACAGUUUGACUCGGAACAAGUGUGCUUGUCUGUAAUUUUGAAAUUAAUGGCAAGAAAAGUGAGGUUGCGUGGAAAAGAUGGGCACUUACGUGAAUGCUUCAAGGAAGAGUGGGGACAGAUGAGGAGGAGCAGUGGGGCAGUUGGUGAUGGAGCAGAGACGUGUAUCCAGGCGCAGGUGUUGGGCACUCAGAUGUGACCCUGAGGCAGCUCGCCCGAGGAGGGGAGACCAUCCUACCCCUCCUCUGCCUCCUCUUUUUUUUGCCAGCGUGUGAAGUUGCGUCAAUAGCAGAUUUAUAUUCUCCAUACAAAUACUUUCAACCCCCGAGUCGUAGAAAACGGGGCAUCCUAACUCUCCACAUGCAGGGUCCAGGGCACGUGGACACAACCUCCUGGCAUUUCUGUCCUGGCAGCAUGGCUCCACUCGCCAGCGUCUGGAGGCAGGUGUUUCAUUGCACCGCUGUCGCUAGAUUACCACUCUCAUCAUCAGAGUGACCAGCUCUUCUCUACUUCUGCUAACGUUUUAAGGAAGUACGUUGGUCAGGGGCGCCCACGCUGACCAGCCACAUGGCCUGGGUGCCUUCAGGCUGUGGGCCACUGUGGGCAAGCCUGGGAUGUGAACUCGGGCUGUGACCCUGGGGCCGUUAAUGGCUGUCACGUGUCAUUGGAAUCGCAGUAGCAGCUGUUUAUAGAGAGAUGCUCCCAGUUGAAUCACUAUGUACUAAAUUUGUAGUUACCCAUCUGGAUAACAGAACAAGCUAUUGGCAGGAAGAAGAGGAAAAUUACACAAAUUUAACAGGGCAAAGUACGCAUGCCGCAUAUACUUUUCGCUCUGAAAUGCAAGAUUCAGUAAAGACGAUUUCCACGUUUGGAGCUUGGCCUCCGGUGGGUUUAGCAUCACCCUCCUCUGAUGUGGUUCUUGUUGGUAGCACUCUGCUCCCCAGUCUCGGACUUUUCAGUGUUUCUCUCUGGGUGGCUCCGUCAAGUUCCCAUCAUGCUGUAGCAUCUUCCUGGAAAUGUCUCCUUUUUGACAUUUCAAGACUCAAGCUGCUGCUGCCCUUUGUCUGCUCUCCUGCUGCAGCCUUUCCUUUAUAUAAUGAUCUUCCGACGUCCAACAGUCUCCUAUUAUCCAGAAAGGACCCUGCUUUUGUAAUUUACAAAUAUUUACUAGCCACCAAGAAAACGCCAAACUUUCCACUAAAGAACUGAAACUUUGCCUUUGGACCUGGAGAGCCACACACAUGAUGGUAUGACAGAAGUACCCGGGCACGUCAAAUCACAUUCCAUCCUCAAUGAAUAAGCCCUGGGUGACUGAAAUACAUCACAGAUGGAUGAGAAAAUAUGAAAACAAAAAUACCUUCCUAAGUGAAACCAUACUGAUUUACCUUCUGUGAAAUAAAUAAAGUAGGAUGUUUCUUUCAAAGAUAUGGAAUGAAUCCAUGCAGUUUGCUAUAGUUGUUUUAAAGUAAACUAUAUUUUAAAAAUUUUGCGGGGGGGAUAACUAAGUUGACCAUUUUUCUUUCUGAAUGGAUAACAAAUAUUUUGCUCUUCAAAAGAGGAAAAUUAAUUAGGAAAAUCAAUAAGCAAGCCAUAGAACGGGAGAGAAUAUUUACAGUGCAUAUAUCAGACCAAAAGCUUGUGUCUCAAUAAUAUAAAGAACUCCUAUAAUUUAUCAUAAAAGACAAACAACCAAAAAUGGGCAGAAUAGUUGAAUAGGCACCUCACAAAAGAAGAUACGUGAAUGGCAAUAUGAAAGGGAAAAUUGCUCAAUAUCAUCAACCGUUAGGGAAAUGCAAAUUAAAACCACAAUGAGAUACUUCUGUACACAUCAGAAUGUCAGUAACUUAAAAAGAUUGACAAUACAGCGUUGUCAAGGAUUUGAUCAUAACUCUCAAAUAUGGCCAACAGAGUGUAAAACGGAAUAGUCUGGGAAAAUGUUUGGCACUUUUUCAAAAAGUUAAACAUGCAUCUUCCCUGUGUCCCAGAAAUUCCACUCUCAGAUAUUCAUCUAAGAGAGAGAACAUACAGGUCCACAAAACACCUCAUGUGAGCAUGGUCAUCGAAGCUUUGUUCGUAGUAUCAAGAACAAGAACAAGCCCUGAGGUCCGUCACCAGGAAAGCGGAGGCGCUGUGGUGUGUGUAUACAGGGGAUACUUCUCACCGAUACAGGCGUACGCUUCUGAUACGCGUAGUAACGUUAAUGGAUCUCACCUAUUAUGCUGAGUGAAAGAAGCCAGACGGAAAAGAGUACACAGUCUAUGACAGAAAUUACAUGAAGUUCCAGAAGAAUUCAAAAAAAACUAUGACAAGAGAAAUCAGACGGCAUCAGGGGCCUGUCUGGGUACGGACAGAGGCACCUUCUGGGGUCGUGGACACCGUCUGUCACCCAUGUGGGUUCCUUGAGUGAAGGCAUUUGGAAAAGAGAAUGUGCUUCUAUAUGUAAUGACGUCUCAAUAAAAUGUUUCCUAAAAGAAAAACAGACACAGAUGUGUGUGCAUAUUUCCAGUAAUGGUUGGGGAAUGUGACCAAACAACAAUUUCAGUGGUAAAACUGGAUCUAACUUCUGCAAUAUUUCAUCCAUUUGCUUAUUUAACAGCUCGCAUCCUGCACCCGCUGUGCUCCAGACCCUGUUCCGGGACUUGGGAGACCACGGUGCAGUGGGGACGUACAGUUCUGGAGCUGGCAGCCAGCCUGAGGACGGGCUUCCUGAAGGGGGCUGGGCUCCCCGCCUCCAUCUCAGUGGGAGACUUUGAUGGCAUCCGGGCUGCUCACCUCAGACAGCUGGGCUCAUUCCUCCAGAGCAACGACCAUGACUCUGUCCUAGGGGUCUUCAUGAUGAUGUUUUAACUACCCUGCAGCCUACCAUUCAAAAACCAGAGCUCUAAUUCCAUCAGGUGUAAGUGCAAAAAAUAGAUUUUGAUGAGUGAGCAUUCCGGAAAAGAGGUAAGAGAAGUAAAUGUAAUAAGUAAAAAUUAUGCAAAGGGGAAAUUCAAAAUGUUGAGUAAUUUUCUACCCCAAAUAUUCCGACACCAUUUUAAGCUUCUUAACUCUGGGGCUAGUGCUGCCUUCCUCUCUCUGUUGCUCAAAUACCACUGCAGCUGGCUGUGUGCACACGGGCCUUCCUGCUACAUCUCCUGUCCUUUAGUUUAGUUUGUUUACAGGAUUGUUCUGGACGGACACGUGGGUGCACCUCUUUCUUCUCCACCCCAGGAGCGCCUUUCUAGGUUGGAAGGCCCACGCUUCUGUUCAUGUUUUCUGAGCCCUUGCUCUCUUGUCUUACAUGAAAACUUGCUUGCGUCCCUGUCCUGUCCUUUCUAACGUCUUCAGUCCUUGAUGCUAAAGGGCCGACCAAACAACAUUCAGGCAAGAGUCAGUGGGGCUGGGCCCCAGGAGCACAGCGCUCACACAGGCCCUUCAGAACCACAGGCCUGCGCGGCGUUGCUGCGCAGGGGUCAGCAUGGCCCGAAGGCCUUUUGUUUCCACGUUGCCUCAAUGUGCAUCUUCUCCCCACGUGUGAUGGUGUGUCUGCUGUGCCGUGCCAGAGAAAAUCACCACUUCAUGCAUGUUUUUCUUUUGCCUCAACAGAUUCAAAUGUUAUGAGGUUUGUCAGGAAUUCCCUUGAGUUUGUACCAAAUCUUUGUAUCUCUUUUCCUUCAUAUUAGACAAACAUGUUUGACAUAAACUUUCAAGGACUGCAAAUAGAGGAGAGCUCUGAAUGGAUGGCUUUUACUUUAUGGAGAGUUAAUAAAUCUCAGAAAAUAAUAAUCUGGGCAGGAUGCAAUGAAGCUGAAUAGUUAAUCUGCAUAGAAUCAAGUAUGUGAUAUGGAGCCCACGUUCCACGUGGCAGAGUCCCAGUUCCAGACAAUCACCGCACAGACUGCCAAGAAACCAGGACUUGGGGAAACUAUGUCAGCCUUUGAAACGAUAUGAGCUGUAGGCGGAUUAUUGACUAAUCAUAGAACAGGUGGCUCAUUUAAAAAUUCUUAUUAUUUCAAGCGAGUGAUAAUUUUUGUAUUGGUUGUGAAUCUUAAGGGCAUAGAAAGGUGGAAGAAACGUUGGAAAGGGAGUUAGUGCUGGCACAAGAGUUUGCUGUGAUAACACUGCAGAACGAUCCGCAUACCUGCUGGCUCCGUGCUCCUGGGCAGUUGAGAGUCAGGCGGAGGUCCCUUCACCUGGGGCGCACAGCCACCUGGAAUGGCUCUUCCUGGGUCAGAGGGCAAAAGUGCAAGGUGUCCAGCAAACUCUGCCCUUUGUGGCCUUGGCCAGCAUCACGUCUCUCCAUAUUCCAAGGUAUAUCACAGGACCAUGGCCAAUUCACCUCUCCCUGUGGAGGCUCAGUGGAACUCCAGGACUGGGGGCUGGGGGCACAGUUCUCCAGGGCACAGGAGAGCUGUCUGAGGCCUACGCUCAGCUGGGUGUGAAGGCAUGUGGCUUAGAUGAGACAAUAUUUGUGCACAAACCGCUUUUCUUUGUGAUCCUCACGUGUGUCCGUGUGACAGUAAGGAGCCACAGCAGCAGUGCAGCCACAGCACAGCGACCCUGUUCCCUUCCCAGAUGGCAGUGAUACGGAAAAGGAGAAAUACUUGUCCAACUACUGCUACUAAUAUUAGAGGAAGGAAUGAUUCCGUUGAUUGCCUGAUGACCCUCUGCUCGGUUAUGGAUCCCCAGCUGUCCUUGCUGUACCUGGAGUUGGGCUCAGUUCCAUACUGAGGUUUCUCUCCCCUACUGCAGUAGCUCAGAUAAAAUCUGUCUUGUCAUUUCAACAAAUGUGCAGCACAUUUUAUAUAUAUAUAUAUAUGGCAUCAAACUGAUGUGUUCAAAGAUCACGUAUGUCCUGGUGGUGUAGACAUCGAUUCUUUUCUUCAUUUCCUUAAUGCCUGCUGGAUAUUCCCAUCUGUCAACCCCACACGCAAUUCAAACUGACAUCCUAAUCUGGACUCAUUAUCUGUCAUCCCCAGCCAGCCUCUCUCUGGGUUCCAUUCUGUCAGUAGCCCCAUCACCCAUCCAUUCACCAAGCUAGAGACCUCAGAGCCCCCUUGGGCACCUCUGUGCUGGGCCUCACCUCCACCCCGAACACUUCUCAGUAAACAAAAUUAUUUUAAGAGACUAGUUACAAGAUUAUCAGAAUGAAUUUAAGAAGCUAGAAACGAGCUCAUCCAUUGAGUGGCCACAGCAAAACACCUCCCACAAUUGCAGAAGUGACCAUGUUUGGGUCCAGCAAGGCAAAGCGAAUAGAAGAGAUGCCUCUUUUGUGCUAUUGAGAGGCAUAUAUCUGCUGACACAGAGACAAGACCAAUCCAGAAGAUUAAGUCAAAAAGCCCUUAUUGCAGAAGGAUGAUUCUGUGUAUAGACAUUAGUAAUUGUUAAAAACCCCUGUAGAAUCCCUGAAGAGAAAUUCGUGGAAGAAAAUAAUUUGUCCUGAAGGCGGUACCAUAACAAGCAUCUGGAUGAAUAUCAAAAGCAGUGUUUGAAACAAAUGAGGUCGAUGGAAACCCCACCUGCGUCUGUCUGUCUACCAUUCCUGUGGGUGCAGUAAGAGGAGAUGGAAGGCUCUGAACCAAGAGUUCACUCUGGAAACCCAAGGUUCAAGGAGUGCACAGUUUUAAUCACAUAAAGAGAGAAGCUCUUUAUGUUAAAAAUAUUCCUGUAGCUCUAAUUUCCACGCUACAAGUGUUAUCUAAAUGGUGAAUUAGUAAAAUCCAAGCCAUUGCUGUCCAUCCAGUUUUAUCUUUAUGAGAGGAAAUGUAAUCUGAAGACCACUCUGGAAUUUCUAAGCUGACUGACUGCUUAAGGAAGGUUAACCAAAUGUUUUUAAGAAAAAGAACGAAUUAGGAAAAAUAAAAACCAUGACAUUUUGUGAGAGAUUCUUACUUUGAAGAUUUGUUUAUGAUAGUAGUGUCUUACAAAAAUUGUUCACUUAAUUGACGUAUGUGAGGUCCAAAGUGUAAACAAUUGAAAUAUAUUAACAUGUAGUGAAAAAGUCCACAAAUGUAAAGCAAAAGUCCAGCUUUGGAAAAGUAAUGUUAAAGAUGGCUUUGCAGUCAUGUGUGGUUGGUGUUAUAAUUUGAAGCCAAAAGAACAAAAUUAGUAGAGAAACAUCUGUAUAUUCUUGUGGAAGAGUUUCUUCAUUUUGAAAUAGUUGAAUUUAAAAGUUCUGCUGAAUUAGAAAUCCUUUUGCAUCAUCAAAACAAAUCUCAACUACGUCAGUCAGUGAGAGAAAAGCAAGUUAGAUUCAUAAAUGAUCACACAUUUUAAGUCUAUUUUAAUGAGAUCAAUUUUUCCAAUUUUGUUUAAUGGCAAGACAGGACAUUCAGUCAAUUAGAGGACGAAGUGAUAACUUGUCUGCUCAUGCGUACAAAGACUUGUUUUUUAAGCAAUGGCGAUUAUCAGAAUGAUUCGGUAAAAAUUCUGAGUCAGAUUCCUGUAGCCAAUUUGUUUACAAAGCCUGAUAUAAAAGAGUGAUAUUUGCAAGCACAUGCUAAAGUUUUCAUUAAAAGUUUGAAAAUAUUGUUGUUGGAAGUGUUCCAGCUCAGCAUUUAAGAAUCUCUCUAAUGUUUGAUGUUUAACUUUUCCCUCAAGGUCAUAUAAUAUAAAGAAAGGAGGAGUGAGUUUUCGCUUGCCUCGCCCACGUAGAUAGAUGCUCCUGCGUCCCCCGGUUCACCCCGAGCGCCAGCCAGCCAGGCGUUUCUGUGUUGUGGCCGUGUGGAAACUUGGGAGGCCCAGGGCACUCGCAAAAGCAGACCUGCCUUGUGGCCUCCCUGCUGCCUUCGCAGCACAUCCGUCCCUCCUGGCCGGGAUUGCAACCACCAUCCUUGAACAGUCGCCCCUGUUCCCAUAGCGCUCCCCGCACGUGAAAGUCCCCAGCUUCAGAGCUCAGCCCAAGUGUACGCUCCGCUUGCCCUCCCCGUCCUGGGACCCCAGCCGCCCCUCUCAGCUCUGUCCUCCCGCAGCCCACGAACUCCUUGAAGCAAAGGCUGGAUGUCACGGCUCUGCAUCUCCAGCUCCUACGCAGGGCGGAUGCCUACAGUUCGGUUCUGUUUGCUGAGCAGAGUGGGCCGGAGCCCGGCGCUCCACACAGCCCCACCACGCAUGUGGGACAGGCCAGCUCUCUGGUCUUCAGUCUCCAUGUUUUUUCUCUAAGUGACAGAGCCUGUUUUUAAAUAAAGCACACCUCACUGGGAGGCCCCAUAUAUGAAAACAGAUUUGGGGGGCAGUUCAGGUAGCAGAGGGAGUGGGGACCCCAACACUGCCACAUUCUCCCUCCCACCUGACCCAACAUGCGAGGACUCAGGGGCUCAUGAGUUCAGGGAAAUUAAGCUUCCCAUUUGCCCAGCCCAGGUCAGGGGUUCAGCUGUCACGGCUACCGCUGGACUGUGCGGGGCCCGGGGGCCGUGAGCGUCCACAGCCCCACCUCCGGCUGCAGCCGGGAGGCUCCGGGCCAGAGCUCCGCUGGGUGAGGAGGACGGCGCAGCAAGGCGGGUGCUGGGCUGGCGUGGGAGCCGUGCUCUGCACCACCCGCCUCACCCCUGCAGUCUCAGCUGGGGCGGAGGGAAAGUUCCACGGCGACGACUAAUCUCGUCUUUAAAUUUCCAUCUGUAGUAACGACAACAGUGCCUAACCCUAUAUAGUGCUGCUGGGUGACAGGCACCAUCUAAGACAUGCCUCUGUCCACAUAUUACCUCAGCCAGGCCUCCCGCCUAUUCUCGACCCCACGUAUAGCCACGGACACUGAGCCCAAGGCAGGUGCUCGUGGCCUGAGAGCUGGAAGUGGAGCCAGGGCAGCCCGGACCUAGGGUGCAGGCUUGUAGUCACGACGCAGAGUGGAGAGCCCAGAAAGGUCUCCAAUGAGCAUUGAUGAGGGAUUUCACGGCAGCAGAAGGGAGCCGUGGGCUCACUACAGUCACGUUUGAGGUUUUCCAUUCACUCAGGAUUGAGGCAAAACCAGAAACAUUCGAACACUUGAGCAGCAGGCCCCAAAGCUAUGGUCUGCAUGUGACCCCUGCUCUUCUGACGGUGAUGCGGUGUUUUUAAUCAGCCCAGCUCCAGCCUAUCAUGGUAGGCUUGCGUUGUCUGCAUUUGAAGGUGCUGAUGAUUACAAGCCCAUGCCUCCCUGUGCGCCCAGCCCUCUCCUAGGCCCUGACUUAACCCUUGCCUGAGCCUAUGGGGGGAGCAGAGAGCUAGGGGAGCCCUGGGGGCGGGUAACAGCCUCUGCUGCAUGCAGGGGGCCUCUGGCCCUUGUUGGUCACCGACUCUCCCAGAGGAGAGGGGAGCAGAAGACAAGGUGAGGCAGGAUGGGCCUGCGCUGCUGGCUGGUGGCCCCAAUCCAAGACCAAGAGCAGCGCUGGAGUCUCACCCGGAAAGCGUCCGCCCUCCAUGGCCGUCCGCAGCCAUGCAGGUCCUUUUCCUAGAUUUCACCUCCCACAAGGUCUGGCUGCCUCAAAGAUUCAAAGUCUAAACCACCACAGACCAAGGGCCUGCCCUCCCCCAAGGACAAGCUGCUCCACUGGGAGGGCGCUGACCUCCGACCCGGGAUUCCGAGAAGCGGCUGGAACACGGGCAGCCCUGCAGGUUCGGGCAGCAUCACUGCACCGGGCGGCCAACGUGAUGCCCAGAAACGCUUCUCCAGUUUCGCAGGAAGCCCAGUCACAUCUGGGGGCCCCUGAUGCCGUCCACCGACACCUGUGCUGCGAAUGCCCUGAGCCACAAACAUGGGCUCCGGGAGGACAGCAGGUUAUGAAAUCUCACUGCAGAGCGUUCGUCCAGAGGAACCCAUCCUUAAAUGACCUGUGAACUGGGCAGUGACGGGUGGGCGGAGAACACGUAACAGACACGUGUAGACACGGUUUUCUGUUCCAGUGAUGAUGGCAGUUACCUGAGUCUAAGUUGUUAGCCUCUGGAGAGCAUAUUGUGAGGACACAGAAAGGCGUCCUGUGAAACCUAUGGCUACAGACCUGACACCGUUGAGGGGUGGCGAAGGCUCAGGUGAAAAUAUUGUGUCUCCGUUUUGUUUUAGCAGAAACGUCCCAACCACGUGUGGAAAACACAUACGUGGAAGGCCUACCUGGUGGUUUGUGUGCAGCCGACUCCUUCAAAGACAUUCCGCUUCCGAGUUGGUGUUUGAAUGUGCAUUUCAGGGGGCCACCUAGGAUGUGACAACAACAGCCUCUCCCUGACCCAGAAACACCACCCCAGCUGAUCAUGGAGCCCACAGUUUUGCCAAUUCUCCAGAGAUCCUGCUGGCGUGGCCUCCAAAGGUGUCCUGGGCUCGGCUGCGCUUGGCUCCUCCACUGCCGUGAGCCAUCCAAACGCCGACACUCUGGCUGGGACGUCACGUGACUUAGCCUCCUCUGAGCCCCACAGCAGACGGGCUGACGCUCACCGUCUCUUCUGUCCUCCUGGGCACACGCUCCUCUCUGAGCCCAAGCUCUCCUGCAGGUGGGAGUGGCCCACAGCUGCGUUUGGGCUGGAAUGGGGUGGGGUGACUGCACUCCUAGGCUGAAUUCUACAGCUCCAGGGGCACAACUCCUGUCCUGCCCUUCUGCAGCUCAGGUCAGGGGACCCAGGUGACACAAGGGACCUUGGUCCUGAAACAUGGCUUGGAGGAACGCCACUAGUCUGGAAAACUGGUUUUGACCCACAAGUACACAGUUGGCCCUACGCUGUUGCUCACCUCCUGUACCAGCUCAAAUAGUUUGCCAAAGCAUUUCUGGAAGCUUGUCUCCUUCUCUCUCAGAUCAGCAGAGCAGACAUCCUCCAGCCUCCCUGUCUCCCUGCACCCCACAGCCAGGCACAAGCCCACUUCGCUACCUACGGGAGGACUGAGCAGAACAGUGACACUAUGAAUGUCUUCAGUACAUGCGUUCACUCCCCCCAGGGCUUCAUCUGACGCCGGCUCAUGCUACGGACUGGGAAGGACUGAGCAUCAGCAUACAGCUCGGAUUUCCUGACGUGCGUCCACGGCACAAAAGCCAUAGGAGGUGCUUUGGGAAAGAGAUCCUGUAAUCAUAUGUGUGUGGGAAAUGCUGCCCAUUUCUUUCUUAGAGCUUCAAGACCAUGGUGGUGAUGCACAGGAAGUGCCCAGAACUGUUACGGUUCCACAAUCUAGACGUUUCUCUAAACCUUCUGAAACUGAUGAACUUCCUUUUCUUGGCUUGUUGUGUUUGGUUCUUCACUUCUGAGACCAUGCAAGGGAAAGUGCAAAAGACAUCAGAGGAGAGAGAACACAGAGCAAGAGAGAGGCCUGCUGGUCCUGCAGUCCCCUAGAGAAAAUCUAUGCUGGAAAGGGGUGGAGCUUCUACUCUAAAUAUUUAGUAAAAAAAAUUUAAAAAUUGCUAUGCUUUCUGAGCCACUUUAUAUUUUUUCCCCUAAGACUUCACCGAGACCAUGAUUCAGCCUUCCAUUUUGUAUCUGCAGAGAUUUAAAGCGGGGAGUAGACCUUAGGUAUUUCGGAAAACGUCUAACAAGCUUCCGUCCAGCCGCGCUGGUCUCCGCUCCCUGGCCGGAGGCCCCGUGGGCGCCGCCUCCCGCCCUCCACUCCCCCACCAGACGUCCGGUGACUGCGGUUAGGGACGCACGCUCCUCCGGCCGAGGGAGAGCCGCGCUUCUCCCGGUCACGGCGCAGCCGCCUUCCGCGGAGCCAGGCCCCUGGUAGAUUUACCGCAGCGUGGAGGCUUGGGACGAGGGACCACUGUCACUGCCCCCCAAACUUCAGCCCCCGUCCUCUGUUCCAGGCCCAGGCCGCGGUCGGCAAGCUGGAACCUCUCUUUGCCUCCACUGGCAUCGGGCAAAUGCCUUCAAACCCGGAAGACAGUGGCUCGGCGCAGCUCCUUGUUUGAAGACUACAGCUUGGUGGCUUCUAAGAAAGAGUCCAGACUCUUGCGGGACCACAGCCAUGUACUGUCCCUGGCACCACGUAGACAGCCAGAGCGCCCAGGCCGGGUGACCGGGUCUCCGGUGCCCCGCCCCCGCUGGAUGCCCGCCUGGUCAGGCACACGGCGCACGGCAAUCCUCUCGCUGGGCCGGCGUCAUCGCGCCCCAGUGUCCGCGGAUGGCUUGCCUGGGCCACGCACAGCGCCGGGCAGAGGACACGGGCCAGACGCCGCCCAUACAGUGUCCACUGGUCACUGGGCAAAUCCUGCCGAGGGCCGCUCUGCCGGGUGGGCCAGGCGGCCGUGAGAGCGGCCGGGGCCAACCAGGCAUCACGGAUGAGCCACGGCCGCCGGAGCAGCGCACACGGCCACCGGAGCAGCGCACGCGGCCACCUGCUCUGCCCGGGGAAGCAACACCCACGCCGUCCAGAAGCGGCUGCGAGACCAGAAAUGGGCCCGGAAAGGGCGCAAAGGGGGCUAGUCCCGCGAGACGCGAUAGAGGCGGAGUCGGGUGGGGCGGGGGUAGGUGGGGCCCCGCCCACCCGCCAGGGGGCAGAGGCCGCGCCGCAGCUCCGCUUGGACUCAGUUCGGGCCUGGUGCGCACGCGCCGGCUGCUGGCGCUGCUGCUGGUGCCGCUGCUGCCGCCGGGGUGGCGACCUUGUCCGUCCUUCAUCCAGCCUGGAAGAGGUUCGCUUGCGCUGGGGAAGCAGAUUUCCACGCUGGAAGCAGUCUUAUGGAGAGGCCCGUGUGGCUCAGCAAGCAUUGAAGCCCUCAUCCCCACCGUCCAUGAGGAACUGGAGCCUGCCAAGGCCAUGUGAGUGCAAGUGGACCCCUCCCCAUCCAGCUUCCAGAUGAGACCACAGCCCUGGCUGGCUGUUUGACUACAACCUCAUGAAAGACCUUGAACCAGAGGCCUCCAGAUAAACUCUGCACAGAUUCCUGAUGCACAGAAACUGUGAGAUGGGAGGCAGUACAGGCAUAAUUAAUGAAGCAUAAUUAAUGAUGUUGAGAACCAGUGAUGUGGGAGAUGCACUGGAGCAUCUCCUUCAGGCUGAACAGGAGGACAAACACCGGAGGGGACGGGAGACCCAGAGGUGAGGGAUGCUGAGCCCAACACGGGACAUGGCGACAGAGGGACAGCUCAGGUGCCUGUUCCUGGAUGGAGAAGAAGCUUCUCCAAAGUUGAUAAAAGAACACUUACAGUAAGCAAACAUGGCAAAAGAUUUUUAAAAGAAGAAAAAAAAUGUUUUCAGCAUUCUGAGAGAGCAAGCUAAUUAAAAACAGAUUACAAAAAUCUGGCAGACCUCUCUGCAACAGUAAAUCCUAGGAGAUAAAGGAAUGACGCGGUCAGCUAACGACAGAAGCAUGUUCUGACUGGGCCUGCCCACCCAGCCGCUCUUCGGUGGGAAGACAGCAGAGGUACUAAUACAUAAAUCCAGUUGAUCUAUAUUAAUAAAUAAACAUUAAUACAUUAAAACACAGCUGGUCUUAUUCCAGGAAAAAAAGGUGUUUGUUAUUUAAAAAUGUAUUUAUAGAAUUCACAACCUAUGAUUAUCUUGACAGCAGCCAAAGGAACAUUUAAUAAAAUUGAAACUCAUAAUUCAUUAAAAUUAUAAAGACAGCUUUCCGUCUUGAUAGGGGACAUUAGUCUGAACCCCACAGAUGAUGUUGCAGUCGCCGUUUUGGCCCUGGAAGCGGUGAACUCGGAAUAAUGGCAGGACUGGUUUAGAGAAAGCGAGAGGCAAGAGAAGGAAGCAGGUGGUGCGUGUGUCCAGGGGAGGAGAGAAACAGGGCUGUCAACGCUGAAGAGAAUACUAGCUGCCUGAAAACUGGAGAGACUCGUGUGACCAUGAGAUGUAAUAAAAACGAUUCUAUUCACAGUAACAAUGAAAAAUUCCGAGGGAUGACUGUGCUAGGGUAAAGUUCUUUUAUGAAGAAAAUAUAAAAAUUUUCAUCAAGAAGAUCUGGAUAAAUGGAGAAGACAUAAAAUAUUUAAAGAUUUACAUUUUUAAAAGGAACCUGUAACAUUUUUAUACAGUUCAAAGAAAAUCCCUAAUGCAAUUUUAGGAGAAAGUGACAAAAUUAAUCUACAGCUCAUUGGGAAGAAUAAACAUGCUAAACUUUUCAAAAGUAACCUGAAAUGGAAGGGUGUGAGGGCCGUGCUACACUGUCCUGCACUGAAGGGCUUAGUUAAAGCUGUAAGGUCCCAACAAAGCAACAGAGACUGAAUAGAAUACAAGUCUAGAAAGAUACUCCAGAAUAUGUGGGGAUUUGGUGUAAAAUUAAAGUGACACCUCAGCUCAGUGAAUGAAGAAGGGUUUAUUUUCACAAAAGCACAGCAGGAAAUAAUGGGCAAACAGUUGGUAGUAAAAUAAAACUAGAAUUCUGCUUUAAACCUCAUAGACUAAAUUCCAUGGGGAUCAGAAAUGUAAAUGUUAGCACAUUAACCGUGAAGUAGAGAAGAAAGUACAGGUUAACGUUCAUACAGUCAUGGGUGGGAAAGGCUGUCCUAUAUCUGACACGAUCAGUCAUGUGAUCAAGGGAAUGAUUUAGGCUCGAAUAUGUACGAAUCCCAAGUGUUCACGUGAAACAGUGAAACACCAAGGACAGGCUGGUAAGAGUAUUUAUAGGGAGAAGUUUAACAAAGAAGGCAGAAAACAACUGACAUCUUGAUAAAAAGAUCAAACUUGACCCUGGACGAGGUCAUCGCUAGAGAAGACACACGAGAGAAGGAACACGAAGGAACACGUGGCAACACGUUUAACUCAGGAUGAACAGCAUGCAGAGUGUGGUGGGUGCCUCUUCCUUCCCCAGUCACGAGGGCCGGGUAGGAUGCAGAGACUGAACACGCACGUGGGGCGUAGCCUGGUGCAGCGUGCUUUCGGAGUGACGGGCCCUCAAGCUUCAUGACAGCCUCUCGGCAGGCACCCGGCCUCGUGCUGUGGACAGAAGGGCCCUGGCUGGUCACAGACGAGGCCCGGGGACAGAGUGCCCUCGGCCUGAGCCCCACACGUCUGAUCUGAAACCUCUGGCUAAGCAGACCCGCCUCCAGGAGUGAGAGGACACAGAAUGGAACUGCGUCUUGUUACCCCGCUGACCGGGAGGUGGGAGCCCGAGAAUGGGGCUGGGUGGGUCCACCUGUGGGUGAGCUCACGUGUGUCAGUCACAGAAAGAUGUUGAGCCUCCACUGUUGGUGAGACAUCAGGGGACAGAGCAAUCUCUUACUAUUCUUGGAAUUGGGAAAUACACGUGUACACCAGGUCAGCAAGGACAAGAGGUUAUGCGGCAGGGCGUGGCACCUGGCCUCGUGACCCUGGGGCAGCUGUCCUGGCCGGUCGUGUGCCGGCUCCUGUAUUGCAUCGUCCCAGCAGCCGCUAUGUGCUUGGGGGGACGUGAACAAAGGGAGUCGCUGGGCUGACUCUGGGUUCAAGGGUGUUUUGAAGCCUUGUGUGGUGUCAGCUUCUCCAAGCUAGGUCCAGGGUUCCCUUUGGGUAAUGAGUCUAGGUUGGAGUCACUACGAGAAAUUGGCGUGAGAUCCGGCAGGCAGAGCGAGGCCGCAGCCCCGCCUCCUCCUGUCCUUCCAUCCUUCCUUCUCUCUUUCCCUCUCUCUGUGUCUCUCUAGCUCUCUCUGGAAUGGCCAGGCACGGGGGCAGGCUGCCUCUCUGUGGCUGUCUGCCGGCUCACCUUGACCUUGAUGGGGCAGCAUUGGGGGUCCAGCCCCCCCUCCUCACACAGGACCUUCUCCCGGGGUGCCUGGGAGCCUGGAGCAGGCCGUGGGCAGCUCGGGGGUGGCAGAGGGGGCCCUCCCCCACAGGAGUGGAGUCGACACACAGUUGACCUGAUCCAUCUCCAGCGGCCCCUCAUCUAUUUGUUCACAAAUCGUUGAAGGGAAGGAGUUUACUUUGGUACUUAAGGUGGCGUCAUUUACAUUUGGCACAUCGUUGUUACUUUUAUGCAUAUUAUGAUGAUGUUUACUAGGCUCAGGCAUAAGGCAAAAUUGAACUAGAAUCAUUGUUUCCCAUUAAAUAUUAAGGGUCCCUAUUAAAAGGAAAAAAUGUACUUUUCUCCAUCCCUUUCCCCCCAAAAUAAGUGACUUAGAAAAUCACUAUCAGAGAAAAAACAAGAUUUGGGCAACGUUUUGGAAAGGUAUGCUUUUGGGAAAGGUAGGUUUUAUAAUUCACACAUUUUUCAUGACCAAAGAAGAAAUAAUGAAUCCAAGCAAACUCUUAGUUCUCACUAAGUAAUAAUGUAAACAGAAUUUUCUUUGCAGGACCGUAAGGCAGUGUGUAAGGAAUGCACUGGCGCCACCUAAUACCUUGAAAGACAUUAUCUACGAUCAGAGAGAAAACAGUUACAGGAAAACAGCUGAAUAGAUUAAUUGGCAGAAGGGCCCACAUUGGACAUGAUUUGUAAACGCUAGACCUUGUCGCUUAGCUCAGCUACAAUAAUUGUGAUAGGCAGAAAGGUUUUAAAAUGCAUUGGAAUGGGUAUCUGAAUGUAGAGUCUUUGAACUUUCUUGGGUUGAGGAGAUAUUAGGAAAUAUUUUGGGGACAGGGAAUAUCUCACGUCAGAAGACAGAACCCAGCCGGGAGAUGGCAGAAAGACUGAGAAGUGGCUGUGGUUCCGAGGAUCUGGUGGGUUUUUUCUGGGCGGGUUUGUGAGCCCCAGUGACUGACCAGGUGAACCGGGAUGCGGCCCUUCUGGGCGCUGACUUCAUUUGUUCAGACGGAGCGUAAUUGCUGGUCUCAGAAAGCAAGGCUGUCUUGCUGAGUAAGACCCACAAGGGUGGCAAUGGUGACUUUUCUCCCGACACAGAAGGGAACCAGGUUCUUGAACACGCUCAGCACACACCUAGUGAGAUAACACCCACUGGCCGAGGGGCUUGCCUAGGGAAACAUAAAGCCAGUCUGUUAGGCCGGGUUGCAGAGUGUGGCUUAUGCAGCUGACCUGCUAGGUUAUAAAGGGGGAUCUCAGAGGGAGGUGGGGCAGGGAAAAGAAGAGAGGAAACAUGGGGGAGGAGAAUCAAUGACGACUGCAGCUGGUACAUCCUUUGAAUUCACCCCCUUAACCUCCCCCCUUAACUGGAAUCCUCAGUUCCUUCAUCCAUCACUCCUAACGUCUUGUUAAGGUCGGGAGAUAACGAAGGACUAAAUGUGGUCCCACCACAGGCGCGCAUUGAGGACAUGGGAGACCCAGCUAUUCACACACUGUCUUCAUUGACUAGACCGUGUUCUCUGUAGUCCUUGAUCACAGCCAACGUCAGAUUUAAAGGUGAUCCCUUCAUUGGAUGAGCUUGGUGCUUCCACGUGGAGAAGCACAGAAGGUGGACCCAUGCAGCCAUCCAUGCUUACAGACACUCCAGAGACAGGCUCAUGGCUCAACUAGAACAGACCAAUCCAUGUGGAUCAAGGACAGCGGGUGAUUUUAUUUGUUUAUUCGAACUUUCAUCCAGACAUUUACGAGGUUAACACCACAUCUCAGAAAACACACAAGCGUGUUAGGGAAAUGCCUGGGUCCUGCCAGUGAGAGUCUGCUGGGCAGUGGGCAUGGGCACGUGGCCCCAGCAGGUGGCCUGGGUGGCCCGAUGGAGAAGAAGCACAAAGGGGGGUCCACAGGUGCCCCAUAUCCAUCCGCGUGGUCUGUGCUACUCCUGGGCCUGGGAGCCUCCCCAGGGGAAACAGCAGAGGUCCAGAGAGGAGGGGCUGCUGGGCCACAGCUGUCCUCCAGGCCCCAGGCUGGGUGUGGGAAAAGGAGAGGGACCUGCCUCCGUGCCCCAGGCCUCCUGCAGACGGGGUCUCUCCCCAUCCCACGCGGAAACAAUGUCU